ensembl:lncRNA
CGGAGAUGGAGAAGGAUGUCAAGGCAUUUGUGGCAGCAUGCACCGUCUGUGUUCGUAGUAAGACACAGCAUCAACGUCCUCAAGGUCUCCUCUACCCCCUCCCUGUUCCUGGUCGUCCUUGGUCACACCUGUCAGUGGACUUCAUUACUGGCCUCCCCUCCUCUGAAGGUAAGCUAUUUUAGUAGUGGUAGACAGGUUUUCUAAGUCCUGUCGCUUUAUUGCCUUGCCAAAGUUACCCUCUGCUCUUCAAACUGCUAAACUAAUGUUUGAACAUGUUUUCCGAGUCUAUGGGCUUCCCCAGGACAUUGUGUCUGACAGGGGUCCUCAGUUCUCCUCCCGGGUGUGGCGAGCCUUCUGUAAACUCAUUGGAGCCACGGCCAGCCUCACAUCUGGGUUCCAUCCCCAGUCCAAUGGGCAAACGGAGAGGGUCAACCAGGAGCUGGAGGCAUCUCUGAGGAGUCUAGUGGCUGACAACCCGUCAUCCUGGAGUUCCCGGCUGCCGUGGGCUGAGAGGAGAGGGAUGUGAGUGUCCCGUCGGCGCUACAGUUCGUGAGACGGUGUAAAAGGACCUGGAAACAGGCCCGACGGGCUCUCCUGCGGACUUCCAAAAGGAACCAGCGCCACGCUAACCGGCUACGGAGACCAGCCCCCAGCUUCCGCCCUGGUCAAAGGGUUUGGCUGUCCGCCAAGGACCUCCCGCUGCGGGUGGAAUCCCGAAAGCUGGCCCCUCGCUAUGUAGGCCCCUUCAAGGUGGUCCGAAGAAUUAAUCCUGUGUGUUACCGCCUCCAGUUGCCUCGCUCCCUUAAAAUAAACCCCACCUUCCAUGUGUCCCUAUUACGCCCUGUAUUCACUUCCCCUCUGGCCCCUGCCCCUGAAACAACCCCGCCCCCCCCGUGUUACGCGGGUUGCAGUACAUGAUUGACUGGGAGGGAUACGGCCCAGAGGAACGUUCCUGGGUUCCAGCACGGGACGUUCUCGAUACAGACCUCCGUAAGGACUUUCAUGCUGCUCACCCGGACCGCCCUAGCAACGUCAGGAGACGUUCCUAGGGGAAGGGGUCCUGUCAUGGUUUUGAAUAAUGUUUUUUGCACUUUGGACUUUGGCGGCAUCAAAUGGCCUUACAUGUGUUAUUUAAGUAUUUUCUGUUCCCUUGCUUUGCCAAUUAGCCCUGUCACCUGUGUCUUGUUGCUCUGGUCGCAUGACCAAUCAAGCCAUGUAUUUAAGCCCUGCUUUUGCCUAUGUUCAGUGCUUAGUCUUUGAUGUGCCACGUUCGUACUCUGACUGAGCUAAAGUCUUGUAUUGGAACCGAUUACUGAUCCCCCUGUGUUUUGACCGCUUGCCUGCCCUCUGGAUUACCCACUUGGAUUUGCCUAUUUGGUAUGACAUUUUGGACUUUUGCCUUUUCUGUUGGAUUUUUUGCUCUUUUUGGAUUUUGCCCUCGUUUUGGAAUUUGUGAUCUUCUGUGUUUUUUAGCCCA